rnacentral:sRNA from 1 species
UGUUUGGGUCUGUGUGUCCUCUUAGUUCCCUUAGCCAUCUUGCUGCAUUCUCA